GGCUGAUUAGCUUGUUGGUGAGGUAAUGGCUCACCAAGGCGACGAUCAGUAUCUGGUUUGAGAGGACGAUCAGACACACUGGAACUGAGACACGGUCCAGACUCCUACGGGAGGCAGCAGUAGGGAAUUUUCCGCAAUGGGCGAAAGCCUGACGGAGCAAUCUCGCGUGAGGGAUGACGGCCUAUGGGUUGUAAACCUCUUUUUUCAGGGAGGAAUAACUGACGUGUACCUGAAGAAUAAGCAUCGGCUAACUCCGUGCCAGCAGCCGCGGUAAGACGGAGGAUGCAAGUGUUAUCCGGAAUCACUGGGCGUAAAGCGUCUGUAGGUGGUUUAAUAAGUCAACUGUUAAAUCUUAAAGCUUAACUUUGAAAUCGCAGUCGAAACUAUUAGACUAGAGUAUAGUAGGGGUAAAGGGAAUUUCCAGUGGAGCGGUGAAAUGCGUAGAGAUUGGAAAGAACACCGAUGGCGAAGGCACUUUACUGGGCUAUUACUAACACUCAGAGACGAAAGCUAGGGUAGCAAAUGGGAUUAGAUACCCCAGUAGUCCUAGCCGUAAACAAUGGAUACUAGAUGUUGAACAGAUCGACCUGUGCAGUAUCAAAGCUAACGCGUUAAGUAUCCCGCCUGGGAAGUAUGCUCGCAAGAGUGAAACUCAAAGGAAUUGACGGCGGAAAACAUUUCAAAAGGUGCAAAUGGAGACAUAACGAAACGCAACCAAUCCCUUGUCGGCAUAGUUUAGAUCAAGCUAGAAAGGGUGUACGUGAGGAUGCCUAGGCACCAAGAGCCGACGAAGGACGUGGCUAAGCUGCGAAAUGCCCCGGAGAGACGCAAGCAGUCUUUGACCCGGGGGUGUCCGAGAUUCGGAAACGACGUGAGCUAAACGCUCAUGAGCCGUAUGUGAAUCCAUAGCAUGCGGUAGGGAACGCAGGGAACUGACCCAUCUAAGUACCUGCAGGAAAAGAAAGAGACAUCGAUUCCCCCAGUAGCGGCGAGCGAAAAGGGAUCAGCCCAAACCUUGCAUGUGUAAGCCCGCAGGCGUUGCAUGCAGG
rnacentral:rRNA from 1 species